rnacentral:lncRNA from 1 species
CCACUAUGUCGAUAGAAUUUGAAAAAUAUCUAUGAUACAACAGUCUAUAUUUAGAAGACAAUUGAGACAUCCUCGAGUGACUAUACGAUGUUUCUUAUCAUUUCAAGGAACACGAAUAUAUUUUCUGCGAGCAUGAGCAUAUAUCACUGCAAAGCCUUUUGCAGCGACUAACGAUAAUUGUGAUCAGUAGCAUGUCCUGCUUCUGUUGAAGAAAGGGCAAAGCUUAGGAAAGUAAACUUGGCCAUCAAAGGAAUAAGGGGCUAGCUAUAGUUGGGCAGUCCAUCUCCAGUAUUAUCUGCCAAUAAUUGACCCUAGUCAUCUUUGCAAAAGCUUCAAUCAAAAUAAAGACUAUAUAUUAUAUGACCCUUAGUUAUCUUGUCAUCAGAACCAAAUGUGCCCUAACCACAAUACAUAUAUAUGGAGAUUUCCACUUAUGCAAAUUAAUGAAUCUUCACUUUCGAACACCUAGGUGAGACAUCCGUCAAAUAUAAAACAUGUAAAACCCCCGGAUGAAACCAGACAGCGUCAACGCCUGUCUUAAUCUUGCAGCAUAUACCCUAUUAUUUCCACCAGAACCCAUUUUCUUCUCACGGCAAAUGAUUUCUGGGCCUCAUUCAAGAACAAAAAAGAACAACUCAAAUUACAAAAAUAAAUUUGUAAUAGGAAUAAGAUAGCUACGUUUCAUCUCAC